rnacentral:rRNA from 1 species
CCUACGGGUGGCUGCAGUGGGGAAUAUUGGGCAAUGGGCGCAAGCCUGACCCAGCAACGCCGCGUGAAGGAAGAAGGCUUUCGGGUUGUAAACUUCUUUUAAGAGGGAAGAGCAGAAGACGGUACCUGAGUAAGAAGCUCCGGCUAAAUACGUGCCAGCAGCCGCGGUAAUACGUAUGGAGCAAGCGUUAUCCGGAUUUACUGGGCGUAAAGGGAGCGUAGGCGGCCUGCCAAGUCUGAUGUGAAAUACCGGGGCUCAACCCCGGGGCUGCAUUGGAAACUGGCAGGCUGGAGUGCCGGAGAGGCAGGCGGAAUUCCUAGUGUAGCGGUGAAAUGCGUAGAUAUUAGGAGGAACACCAGUGGCGAAGGCGGCCUGCUGGACGGUGACUGACGCUGAGGCUCGAAAGCGUGGGGAGCAAACAGGAUUAGAUACCCUUGUAGUC